rnacentral:rRNA from 1 species
UGAGCAAUCUGCCCUUCUCAUCGGAAUAAGCGUUGGAAACGACGUCUAAUGCCGAAUACGACCUCCUUUCGCAUGAUCGGAGGUGGAAAGCUCCGGCGGAGAAGGAUGAGCUCGCGGCCUAUCAGCUAGUUGGUGUGGGUAACGGCUCACCAAGGCGACGACGGGUAGCUGGUCUGAGAGGAUGGCCAGCCACAUUGGGACUGAGACACGGCCCAGACUCCUACGGGG